UACGAAGGGGGCUAGCGUUGUUCGGAAUUACUGGGCGUAAAGGGCGCGCAGGCGGCCCUCCAAGUCAGGCGUGAAAGCCCCGGGCUCAACCCGGGAAUAGCGCUUGAGACUGGGGGGCUUGAGUUCGGGAGAGGAGAGUGGAAUUCCCAGUGUAGAGGUGAAAUUCGUAGAUAUUGGGGAAGAACACCGGUGGCGAAGGCGGCGUCUCUGGACCGACGACUGACGCUGAGGCG
rnacentral:rRNA from 1 species